AACAAACGCUGGCGGCGUGCCUAAUACAUGCAAGUCGAACGGGGAAAGCUUUCGGGUGAGUACUAGUGGCGCACGGGUGAGUAACGCGUGGAUAAUCUGCCUUUGAGUGGGGGAUAACUAGUCGAAAGAUUAGCUAAUACCGCAUAAGACCACAGGAACUGAGGUUCUAGGGGUUAAAGGUUUUUCGCUCAUAGAUGAGUCCGCGUGAGAUUAGCUAGUUGGUGAGGUAACGGCUCACCAAGGCGACGAUCUCUAACUGGUCUGAGAGGAUGAGCAGUCACACUGGAACUGAGACACGGUCCAGACUCCUACGGGAGGCAGCAGUAGGGAAGAUUGCACAAUGGAGGAAACUCUGAUGCAGCGACGCCGCGUGAGUGGUGAAGGCCUUCGGGUCGUAAAGCUCUGUCGCAGGGGAAUAACACAAUGAAUGUACCCUGUAAGAAAGGAUCGGCUAACUUCGUGCCAGCAGCCGCCGUAA
rnacentral:rRNA from 1 species